rnacentral:ncRNA from 2 species
AACGUUCAUCUCUUCUCGCGAUCUCUGUCUGGAUGGUGUGCAUUCUGAGGUUUUUCAGGUAUUGAGAAGGGACGGAAGUAGGGAAGUCGCCCGAAGGAACGCGCC